rnacentral:rRNA from 1 species
GAUGAACGCUAGCGGCAGGCCUAAUACAUGCAAGUCGAGGGGUAUGGGUUGCUUGCAACCCAGAGACCGGCGCACGGGUGCGUAACGCGUAUGCAAUCUACCUUAAUCAGGGGGAUAGCCCGGAGAAAUCCGGAUUAACACCGCAUAACAUUGAGUUGUGGCAUCACAGUUCAAUCAAAUAUUUAUAGGAUUAAGAUGAGCAUGCGUGACAUUAGUUAGUUGGUGAGGUAACGGCUCACCAAGACCACGAUGUCUAGGGGAUCUGAGAGGAUGACCCCCCACACUGGUACUGAGACACGGACCAGACUCCUACGGGAGGCAGCAGUAAGGAAUAUUGGUCAAUGGGCGCAAGCCUGAACCAGCCAUGCCGCGUCCAGGAAGACGGCCCUAUGGGUUGUAAACUGCUUUUGUACCGGAAUAAACCUUCUCUUGCGAGAGAAGCUGAACGUACGGUAAGAAUAAGGAUCGGCUAACUCCGUG